rnacentral:rRNA from 1 species
UACAGAGGUCCCAAGCGUUGUUCGGAUUCACUGGGCGUAAAGGGUGCGUAGGUGGCGAGGUAAGUUUGAUGUGAAAUCUCCGGGCUUAACCCGGAAACUGCAUUGAAUACUAUCUUGCUAGAGGGUUGGAGGGGGGACUGGAAUUCUCGGUGUAGCAGUGAAAUGCGUAGAUAUCGAGAGGAACACCAGUGGCGAAGGCGAGUCCCUGGACAACUCCUGACACUGAGGCACGAAAGCUAGGGGAGCAAACAGG